rnacentral:rRNA from 1 species
CAGCAGCCGCGGGAAAACGGAGGGUGCAAGCGUUAUCCGGAUUUAUUGGGUUUAAAGGGUCCGUAGGCGGAUCUGUAAGUCAGUGGUGAAAUCUCACAGCUUAACUGUGAAACUGCCAUUGAUACUGCAGGUCUUGAGUAAAUUUGAAGUGGCUGGAAUAAGUAGUGUAGCGGUGAAAUGCAUAGAUAUUACUUAGAACACCAAUUGCGAAGGCAGGUCACUAAGAUUUAACUGACGCUGAUGGACGAAAGCGUGGGGAGCGAACAGGAUUAGAGACCCGUGUAGUCCCUGUCUCUUAUAC